GGCCAGGUGGCAGAGUGGCCUAAUGCGCCGCACUCGAAUUAACGUUAAAUUUGUUAUGCGGUCCCUUCGGGGGCGUCUGUUCGAAUCAGGCCCUGGUCG